ensembl:lncRNA
AUACUUUUUUUUCUUUUUUCUUUUUUAUUAAGUAUAGUUGAUUUAUAGUGUUGUGCCAAUCAAUUUCUGCUCUACAGCAUAGUGACCCAGUCGUACAUAUAUAUACAUUCUUUGUCUUGUACUAUCUUCCAUCGUGUUCUAUCCCAGACAUUAGAUAUAGUUCCCUGUGCUGUACAGUAGGACCUCAUUGUUUACCCAUUCUAAAUGUAAUAGUUUGCAUCUAGCAACCCAAAACUCACCAUACUGUUUUUCGUGGUGGCUGUAUAAAUUUACAUUCCCACCAACUUUGUACACAGGUUCUCUUUUCUUCACAUCCUCACCAACUUUUGUUAUUUAUAGACAUUUUGAUGAUAAUUAUUCUUAUAGGUGUUAGGUGAUACUCAUUGUGGUUUUGAUUUGCAUUUCUUUAAUAAUUAGUGAUGUUGAACAUCUUUUCAUGUGACUAUUAGCCAUCUGUAUGUCUUCUUCAGAAAAUUGUCUAUUCAGGUCUUCUGCCCAUUUUCUAAUUGAGUUGUUUGGGUUUUUUUAUACUGAGUUGUUGCCACAAAGAAAACCCUAUUAGAACUAAUAAAUGCAUAUAGUGUGGUUCUAGGAUACAAGAUUAAUAUAAAAAUAUGUUAUAAUCUGUUACAAUUCUAUAUACAAAUGAUGAGCUAUAAGAAAGAAAAAGGCAAAAAACAAUCCCCUUUAAAAUCACAUCAAAAAAAACUAAGAAUAAACUUAACCAGAAAUUAAUAUUGUUAAAAUGUCCAUAGUACCCAAAGCAAUCUCAGACUUAAUGCAAUCCCAUCAAAUAUCCAUUUUUCACAGAACUAGAAAAAUUAAUCCUAAAAUUUAAAUGGAACUAAAAAAGACCCCAAAUUGCCAAAGCAAUCUUGAGAAAAAGGAACAAAGCUGGAACUAUCGUGCUCCCUGAUUUCAAACUAUACUACAAAGCUACAGUAAUCUAAAUAGCAUGGUACUGACACAAAAACAGACACAUAGAUUAAUGGAACAGAAUAGAGAACCAAGAAAUAUACAUCUGUGGUCAAUUAAUCUUCAACAAAGGAGGAAAGAAUAAGUGGUGCUGAGAAAACUGAACAGUUAUGUGCAAAAGAAUGAGAUUAGAACAUUUCCACAUACUAUAUACAAUACUAAAAUCAAAAUUGUUUAAAGAUCUAAAUGUAAAAUCUGAAACCACAAAAUCUGAGGAGAACAUGGGCAGAAUGCUCUUCAGCAUAAAUUCUAGCAAUAUUUUUUUAUCUGUUCUAAGGCAAAAGAAAUAAGAGCAAAAAUAAAUCAAUGGGACUGAAUUAAAAGGCUUUUGCACAACAAAGAAAAUCAUCAAUGAAAUGAAAAGACAUUUUUACUAAUUUUACAGAUUGGGAAAAUAUAUUUGCAAAUAAUAUGACCAAUGAAUAACCCACAUUAAAAUACCCACAUUUAAGGUUUAGAACAAUGUGUACAUACAUUUUAUGUGGAAGCAUCACUUUUUUCAAGUUAAUAUUUUAAAAUUUUUAUUGAGGCAGAAUAUGUAUACAUAUGCAUCCAUGUACACAUUUCACAAAUGCAUAGUUGUAAAUUAUAUGGUAGGGUUUCAUUUCUUCCCAUAAGUUUAAGAAGUGCUUUCCAUGUUCAAAAACAGCUACACAGCUUAGCCUGAAGAAGACAAUAGUUUGGUAGAAAUGUAUUGAGGAAAUUUUCAAGAGGUAGAGCUAAGGGGAGGUGGAAACAGGGACUAAAUGUCUGUAGCUCUUGAAUUAUCAACUCUUCAAGGCAAGCAGGCUCUGUAACUUAUUUAGCAUGGGUCAGACUUUGGGUCUAUUUCAUGAAUAACAGUAAAAUCUUGGUCACCAAUUAUUUAUUAAGAUGAAUGUCUUAAAAGAGAGGCACCAUAGUACUACAUGCUUCUCUACAAGGGGAGGGAGAUGUUACCAAAAUGCUGACUAUCCAUCCUAGUGUGACCAGCUUACAUAACUGAGAUACACAGGUCAUCAGAGGGCUUCACACAGCCCUUUCACUAUACUAGGGGCUCAAGAAUCUAUCCUAAUUAUUAGAGUAGAGAUUAAUUUCCCACUACAGUAUUGUAGAUAUCCCACUUUUGCCUGUCUACUUUUUACCACAUCUCUGCCUCAAGGCUGACCUGUACAUUUACCUAAUUUCUGGCAGUCAUUUGGCUCAGCCAACAGCAUGAACAGGAAAGUGGAAGGAGAAAAAUGAGGUUAGAGUAUUAAUCCCCAGAUCCCUCCCUGCAGAGUUGCAUUGGAUGGACCAAAUGUCCUCUAUUUGCUAAUCCUGGACUGGAUUAGCUCAAACUUCCUAAUUCUAAAGUCCAUGACUCCAUAUUUCACUCUCUUUUCUUCUAUUUCUCUUUUUUCAAUGCAUUCUACCUGUUUUGGUAUUAGGAACCACAAGUGUCUUCCCUUGUUUUUGAAGUCACUCUUCAAUAUUUAGGCCUUAAGUUUGUUACCUCAGAUUCCCUACUGUCAUUUCUUCCUCUGAUUAUCUGGGGGUUGGUACAUUUACUGUUUAAGGCCAUAUGAUGGAAGUUGGGUAGGUUAUCUUUAAUAACCCCUAAUAAAUGGCAUCUUAUAUGAUCCCUAUAACCCAAGGGCAUUCCAUUCAUCUCCUGUCUUACACAUUCUACCAAAGGAAAGAUCCCAAGUUACUGUCACAGCAUCUUCUGCACCCAGAAGGGCAGAUGCUAUCUUUGAUGCACUUUUAUAAUACAAAAUUGAUUAUGUUUAUUUCCUACACUAAGACAAACAGCAGUCUCUGUCACCAUCAACUGUUAUGAUAGCAUUCAUUUAUACCCAAUGAAUUUAAUUGGCUAUAUUUCUAGAAUGCCACCAUCAGCAGUGCUUUGCUGGUUCAUCAAUGGCUGUUAUUUCAUCUGCCGAAUGCAGAGGAGGGCAUAAAUCCACAGCAAUAAAGGUGUGCAGUGGUUAAAUAUUCUCCAGAAUGUAUGACUGCUCGAUUGAAGGAUGAGCUCAUAGAGAAACUAUUACACUGAAACCUGGCUCUUAUGUUGUUCUCAGAAGAAUGGGAUUCAAUAUAAGGAAUGAGGGUCCUUCAUGGAGCCUUGAUCUACUGUUUAAGGACCCAAGGACUUCAUCAAAAGAUGGUUCUAUUUAGGAGAGUGAAAUUUUACAGCAGGCAAAAUAAUAACCCUUGGCAUCAGAAAACUUGGACUUGAAUUCUCUCUCCAUUCCUUGCUACUUGGGUGACCUCAGGCAAAUCACUUAAUCUAUUUAUUUAUUUAUUUAUUUAUUUUAUCUUUUUGCCAUUUCUUGGGCCGCUCCCGCGGCAUAUGGAGGUUCCCAGGCUAGGGGUCCAAUUGGCGCUGUAGCCGCCAGCCUACACCAGAGCCACAGCAGCACAGGGUCCAAGCCUCAUCUGUGACCUACACCACAGCUCACGGCAACGCCAGAUCCUUAACCCACUGAGCAAGGCCAGGGAUCAAACCUGCAACCUCAUGGUUCCUAGUCAGAUUCAUUAACCACUGAGCCACGAAAGGAACUCCUUAAUCUUUUUAAAUAUACAUUUCUCCUUCUGUAUAUUGAGGGUAAUAAUGUACCAAAUUUUAGGAUUGCUGGGAAUCUUUAAAUGAGAUAACCUUUGGAAAGGAAUUAGUACAGUGACUGGCACAGAGGAAGCCCUCAGGAAAUACUUGCAUAUUGAUGAUGAUGGUGACACAAACCAUCAUCAGAUCAUCAUUACCAUCACCAUUUUUUGUAAAACUGUAAGGUAUUUUACAUUCUUAUUUCCCUCAGACAAAUCUCUUCCAUACCUACACCCUUUGUGGACAAAAGAGCCAUCUCUCCAAAUACAUACCCAAGUUCAUCAUGGCUUUCCCUCUCUAAAAAUCACUCCUAGCUUCCUAGUCAACCCAGUAAAGUUGAAAUUCCUUAAGCUGCCAUACAAUGCAUUACAGUCUGUUCCUCUCCCACCUCUUCAGCUGCAUAUCUGUAUUCUUCCCACCCUGAGUGUUUUACUGCAGCCAUAGAAAAUUUUUCACUGUACCCCACUUGCUCAUCAAGCCCUCUAUAUUCUCUUCUCUUUGCCGAGAAUGUUCCUGCAGAGGGUUCAAAGAUUUGGUCAAGGGUCACCUUAUUAGCUCAUAUUUGUUAAGUGCUGCUGUGUGCCCAGCACUAAGAUGAUCAACAACUCUAUGAUGUAGUACAAUUAUCAGGUGUAAGAAGGUGUCUGAGGUUUGGCAAUAUGGAACCCAACAAAUUUCCUAUUGCUGCUGUAAGAAGUACCUCAAACUUAGGUAGCUUAAAAAAACAUGUACUUGUUAUCUUACAGUUCUGCAGAGCAGAAGUUCAAAGGGAGUUUUACUGUGUUAAGAUGAUUUUACUGAUCAUCUUAGUGCUAGGCACACAGCAUCACUUAACAUUCCUUCUGGAACUCUAAGGGAGAAACCUUUUCCCUGGCAUUUCUAGAUUCUAGACUGCCUGUGGUUCUGUGGCUCAUGAAAUCACGAUAUCCUCCUCCAUCUUCAAAGCCAGCAUACCCCUCUCUCUCUCUUUCUCUCCCUCUCUCCCUGAUGCUGCUUCCAUGGUCACAUCCCUUUUUGUGACUUCUACAUUCUUGCCUCUCUCUUAAAAGGACCCUUGUUAUUACAUUGGGUGCAACUGGAUAAUCCAGGAUACUCUCCCCACUUCAUCUCUUAAAUUAUCACACCUGCAAAAUCCCUUUUACCACAUAAGGAAACAUAUUCACGUGUUCUGAAGAAUAGAAAUGGACAUCUUUGGGAAGCCCACUUCAGUACUUCUCCUAACUUCUGUAUUAUUUUGUCAACUUUCUACAGGAAAUUUGCCUUCUUUAAUUUUCCUAUGAAUAUUUUCAUGAACAAGAAGCUGCUCCUUUCUUGGGUUCCCAUAACCCUCAAUUUAUACUUCUCCUUUGCCCUUAUCAUAUUGCAUUUAAAUUUCUCUUUACUUUCUAGCUCCACAAAUCAAAUGAGAGCUUCUAAAGGGCAAGGUUUAUAUUCUCAGCACCCAGCCCAGAACCAUGUAAAUAGUAGGCAUUUGCUGAAGGUUGUGUGGGUGGAGUAAAAGAUCACAUAUUUGAAAACUAUUGCUAUCCCAAUUCAAAGAUGAUAGUGUCCAUAGCCAUUUUAAACAAAUGCAUUAAUGUGACUAAAAGGAUGUUUGCACAGUUUGAAUACACCAAGAGUAAACACUGUUCUGCAAGAGGUAAGAAUGAUUGCAGGUCAUAGAGCCUUUUUCCUACCAGUGCUUGAUUUUCUCAGUCAUGCAACACUCUAAUGUUAUCUACCUACUGUGUGUCAGGUCCAAGGGCCAUAAAGAGAAAUUACAUUUUUGCCACUCAGGAGCUGUCUGUUUUAAGGGCAGACAUAUAUGAACUCAGCAAAUGAUCAAAAGUAAUAGGUGCUGUUCUCAUAAAUGAAAGAACCAUUUUUCAUGCCUUUCUGGAAUCCAUGAAGGCUCUUUGAAAAGCCAUGCUUCUAUAAAGAAGGGAGGAACUAUAGGUUGUUAGUGUCUCUGAGGAGGUAGUGCCAUGUAGUGGUUAAGUACACCUGUUAGAAAGCCAGAGCUUUGGGAUUAAGCCCUAUCUCUGCCACAUAGGAGUCAUGCUGUCUUGUUUAAAUGAUCUAAUUUAAUGUUCUCAAAAUCCUCCUCAUUUAUCCAAAGGAAAUGAAAUUAUUAUCUCAAAAAGAUAUCUGCACAUCCAUGUUCACGUGAGCAUUAUUCACAGUAGCUAAGAUACGGAAACAACUUAAAUGUUCAUCAACAGAUGAAUGUAUUCAAACCUCUCUCUCUCUCUCUCUCUCUCUCUCUCUCUCUCUCUCNNNNNNNNNNNNNNNNNNNNCACACACACACACACACAGAGGAAUAUUAUUCACCCUUUAAAAAUAAGGAUAUCCUGACAUCUGUGCCAUGGGUAGACCUAGAAGACAUUAUGCUAAAUAAAAUACACCAAAAGCAGAUAGUCAAAUAUUGCAUGUGUGGAAUCUAAACUGGUCAAACUCAUAGAAGCAAAGGGUAGAAAGAUGGUUCCAAGGUAUAGCAGGGGGAAUGAAGACAUAUUGGUCAAGGGCACACAAUUUCACUUGCAGAGAAUGAAUAAGUUCGGGAGACCUAACCUAUAGCAGUGUGACUCUAGCUGACAACAAUAUACCCCAUACAUGAAAUUUGCUAACAGUGUCAUAGGUAGAUCUUAAGUGCUGUCAC